GUGCGUCCCGGGCGUGCGUGCGGCCUCCAGUACGCGUGCGCGUGCCCUCCUGGGGCGUGCUCGCGGCUAUAAGGGGCGGAGGCUGGGUGGCGCAGAGCUGACGGCGCUUUUGUCUCCGGUGAGUUUUGUGGCGGGAAGCUUCUGCGCUGGUGCUUAGUAACCGACUUUCCUCCGGACUCCUGCACGACCUGCUCCUACAGCCGGCGAUCCACUCCCGGCUCUUCCCCCGGAGGGUCCAGAGGCCUUUCAGAAGGAGAAGGCAGCUCUGUUUCUCUGCAGAGGAGUAGGGUCCUUUCAGCCAUGAAGCAUGUGUUGAACCUCUACCUGUUAGGUGUGGUACUGACCCUACUCUCCAUCUUCGUUAGAGUGAUGGAGUCCCUAGAGGGCUUACUAGAGAGCCCAUCGCCUGGGACCUCCUGGACCACCAGAAGCCAACUAGCCAACACAGAGCCCACCAAGGGCCUUCCAGACCAUCCAUCCAGAAGCAUGUGAUAAGACCUCCUUCCGUACUGGCCAUAUUUUGGAACACUGACCUACACAUGUCCAGAUGGGAGUCCCAUUCCUAGCAGACAAGCUGAGUACCGUUGUAACCAGAGAACUAUUACUAGGCCUUGAAGAACCUGUCUAACUGGAUGCUCAUUGCCUGGGCAAGGCCUGUUUAGGCCAGUCGCGGUGGUUCACGCCUGUAAUCCUAGCACUUUGGGAGGCUGAGGUGGGUGGAUCACCUGAGGUCAGGAGUUCAAGACCAGCCUCGCCAACAUGGCGAAACCCCAUCUCUACUAAAAAUACAAAAGUUAGCUGGGUGUGGUGGCAGAGGCCUGUAAUCCCAGCUCCUUGGGAGGCUGAGGCAGGAGAAUUGCUUGAACCCGGGGACGGAGGUUGCAGUGAGCCGAGAUCGCACUGCUGUACCUAGCCUGGGCCACAGAGCAAGACUCCAUCUCAAAAAAAAAGAGAAAAGAAAAAGCCUGUUUAAUGCGCAGGUGUGAGUGGAUUGCUUAUGGCUAUGAGAUAGGUUGAUCUCGCCCUUACCCCAGGGUCUGGUGUAUGCUGUGCUUUCCUCAGCAGUAUGGCUCUGACAUCUCUUAGAUGUCCCAACUCCAGCUGUUGGGAGAUGGUGAUAUUUUCAACCCUACUUCCUAAACAUCUGUCUGGGGUUCCUUUAGUCUUGAAUGUCUUAUGCUCAAUUAUUUGGUGUUGAGCCUCUCUUCCACAAGAGCUCCUCCAUGUUUGGAUAGCAGUUGAAGAGGUGUGUGGGUGGGCUGUUGGGAGUGAGGAUGGAGUGUUCAGUGCCCAUUUCUCAUUUUACAUUUUAAAGUCGUUCCUCCAACAUAGUGUGUAUUGGUCUCAAGGGGGUGGUGGGAUGCCAAAGCCUGCUCAAGUUAUGGACAUUGUGGCCACCAUGUGGCUCUAAUUAAUAAAGUGGAAUAUAUAUUUCUACUGUGUGUCAUGUUGACUUCUGCUCUUGAAAUUCGUGGUAGGGAGGGUCUUAAUUUCUAGACCUGAGGUUUAAUUUUAACAUCUCAAUACUUUGGAGCAGGAAAGUGCUUAAAUCACUUUGUUUAAAACAUAGUAUCAGUAGACUUCUGAAUUUGGGGGCAGAGGCAGUUGGGUCUGCCAUGUAUCAACCAGUUAUGUGAGCCUAGGCCACGAUUAUUGCAGGCCUGUCAUGACUAGAUCUGUAAAGAAGAAGAAAAAUGAUCACCACUUCCAGCCCCUCUCCUUGAGUCUCUGGGGCAAAGAGGACUAUCAGUCCAGGAGGCUGUGGGCUUUUUCUUUUGUACUCUUCAGCGUGUUUUACUUACCCACCAAAAAGGCUGCUUAAUUCAGAUUGUUCUCAAAGUCAGUUGGUAAAGUGUCCACACCACACAGAUGAUUAUAUCUGCUCUCCCAGAUCUAAGCAACUUGGCCUUUACUCAAAAGUUGGAGGGUUUUUUUUCUUGUAUCCAUCACUCUUAUACUUCUUGUCCCACGUACAAUUGUAUUCACUCCUUUGCCCUUCAGAAUAUAUUUAUUUACACUCCCAUCUGGGCGUGUGCAUCAUUUUAUUAACUUGACUGACUUUUGCUAAAGCGCAACAAUGAAGUACAGUGUCUUCUGUUAAGCCAGUUUUACUUCCUGAGUGUUCUUAAAAUGUCACUACCCUAGAAGCCUGUGGGUUAAGCAUCACUUUCAUUUAUUGCACAGUGGUUGUCACUAGUGUUAUUUAUCAAGUAUUUCCAGUUUCCCCCCUUUCGGGUACAUGGUAAAUUGGUCCCCUUGUGGCUGUCAGGGUUUAUAUGACUGUUACUUUGUUAGCAUAGUACUACUCUCAAAAGUCUAUUUGGCUUUUUCUCUGGUUUCAGUUUCAUGUGCCAGUAGUUACCCUCUUCUAUUCAUAUUUCUUAUAUUUGAUAUAUUUUAUCAUUCUCAUGCUUCUAAUUUGGGGUAUUUUUGAACCUUCAAUUGGAGAGCCUGCACCUUAAGUCUCUCCUCCAAGUGGCUUAGUUUAAUUGAAGUGAUCUGUGUGCCACCACCCCCUUGUGGUUGGAUGGAGCCAUGUCAUUAGUUCUGGCCAAUGAGCUGUGAGUGGUAGUGGCUUGCGUUAAUUCUACGUGAGAGCAUUUCAGUGCUGGAGAAACCUGCGAGGCCCUCUUUUUCCCUCUGUGCAGUGACCAGCAGUGCUUCCUAUGGAACUGUUCAUUAGUGUAGGUCCUGGAAUGAGGAUGCAUGGCGCAGGGCCCUUUAUCUGUCCAAUCUGACUGUGAUGUGGGAGAGACUUCUAGACAUGUUGCUUUCUCUAGGGUAUGUUCUUAUAUUUCCCAUUACCCCCCACCCCCUGCAAAAGGACUGGGCCUGUUUCAGGAAGGUGACUGAUACCCACACUGUAGCACAGGAAUUGUGCUACUGAUAUCUGGGGGUUUUGUUAACUGAAGUGUAACUUAGCUUAUCCUGAUUGGUACAUUGUGUACAGCACCUAUUGGAUGCCAGGCAUCAGCUAAUACCUCAUCGCUACCUGCCUCAAAUGUACACAAGGUAUUGGGAGGAAGGCAUGUGAACAAAUAAUGUGUCAUGGUUUUGUGAUAGAAAUACGUAUACAGGAUAGUGGGUAUAUAAAGUUAUUUGUAGGCAGGAGAGGGGUGUUCAGGAAAAGCUUCUUAGAGGAUCUCAAUUUUUUAAAAAUGCGUAGGUUGUAGGCUGCUGGCCGACUUAGGAAAAGGUGUCUCAGCGGAGGGAACAACGGGAGCAAAGGCAUGGAGAUGAGCCUAUGCACAGCUCAUUUAGAAAACUGCCAGUGCAGGCCAGGUGCAGUGCCUCAUGCCUGUAAUCCCAGCACUUUGGGAGGCCGACGCGGGUGGAUCACCUGAGGUCAGGAGUUUGUGACCAGCCUGGCCAACAUGGGGAAAUUCCAUCUCUAUUAAAAAUACAAAAAAUAGCUGGGUGUGGUGGCAGGUGCCUGUAAUACCAGCUAUUCAGGAGGCUGAGGCAAGAGAAUCACUUGAACCUGGGGGUCGGAGGUUGCAGUGAGCCAAGAUGCGCCAUUGCACUCCAGCCUGGGCAACAAAAGCGAAACUCCAUCUCAAAAAAAAGAGAACUGCAAGUACAGGCCAGGCACAGUGGCUCGUACCUGUAACCCCAGCACUUUGGGAGGCUGAGGCAGGAGGAUUGCUUGAGCCCAGGAGUUCAAGACCAGCCUGGGGAACAGAGCAAGACCCCGUCUUUAUUAAAAAAAAAAUUAUUAAAAAAAAUUUUUUUUUCCAUUCAGGGUCUCAUUUUGUUGCCCAGACUGGAGUGCAGUGGUGGCAUUGUGGUUCACUGCAACCUCCACCUCCCGGGCUCAAGCAAUUCUCCUGUCUCAGCCUCCCCAGUAACUGGGACUACAGGUGCACACCACCAUGCCCAGCUAAUUUUUGUAUUUUUUGUAGAGAUGGAGUUUUACCAUGUUGCCCAGACUGUCCCCGAACCCCUGGGACUCAAGUGAUCCACCCGUCUCAGCCUUCCAAAGUGCUGGGAUUACAGGUGUGAGCCACCGCACCCGGCCCACUACUCCCCCAACAUUUUUUUAAGUGUUAGCUCGGCAUAGUGGCGCACACCUUUAGUCCUAGCUACCAAAGGGGCUGAAGUGGGAGGAUCACUUGAGCCCAGGAGUUUGAGGCUGCAGUGAGCCAUGAUCAUGCCACUGUGCUGCAGCCUGGGUGACAGAACUAGACCCUGUCUCCUAAAAAAUUAAGGCUGGGCAUGGUGGCUCACACCUGUAAUCCCAGCACUUUGGGAGGCCAAGGCAGGUAGAUCAUUUGAGAUCAGGAGUUCGAGACCAGUCUGACCAAUAUGGUGAAACCCUGUCUCUACUAAAAAUACAAAAAUUAGCUGGGCAUGGUGGCAAGCAUCUGUAGUCCCAGCUACUGGGGAGGCUGAGACAGGAAAAUUGCUGGAACCUGGGAGGCAGAGGUUGCAGUGAGCCGAGAUAGUGCCACUGCAUUCCAGCCUGGGUGACAGAGUGAGACUCCAUCUCAAAAUAAAUAAAUAAAAAUAAAUAAAUAAUUUUUCAAAGUGCAAGUACAAAUUUUAAAUCUUACUAGCUUGUGGCCUGAACUCUAGUGCCACCUAGUGGACCCUAAAGAAGGGAAUAUUUUAUAUACUGUAUGCUGUGUAAUGCUUUCUGAAUUUGAAUGACACUACCUCUGAAGCUUAAGAUAACUAUGAGAAUAUUAAGGGCUGGAAGAUAAGAUCUAGCCCAGCACUGUCCAAUAAAAACAUAAUGCAAACUACAUAUAUAAUUUAAAAUUUUCUAGUGUCCCAUUAAGGAGUAAAAAGAAACUGAAGAUAUUUUUAACAUAUUUAACGCAAUGUAUUCAAGAUAUCAUUCCAAAAUAUAACAUAAAGUGUUAUUAAUGAGAUAUGUUAAAUACUUUUUUUGUGAUACUAAGUUUGUAUACUGGUGGGUAUUUUAUACUUAAAAUAUGUCUCUACUUGGAUUUGCCACAUUUUCUUUAGUUUUUGUUGGUGGUGCUUUUUUUUUUUUUUUUUUUUGAGAGUUUUGCUCUGUCGCCCAUGCUGGAGUGCAGUGGCACAAUCUCGGCUCACUGCAACCUCUGCCUCUGGGUUCAAGCAAUUCUCGUGCAUCAGCCUCCUGAGUAGCUGGGAUUACAGGCACCCACCACCAUGCUGGGCUAAUUUUUUUUUUUUUUUGGUAGAGAUGGGGUUUCACCAUGUUGGCCAGGCUGGUCUCAAACUCCUGACCUCCAGUGAUCUGCCCACCUUGGUCUCUGUGCUGGGAUCCUUUUCUGUUAACUUGCUUAUAAAAAUGUCACACUCUGUAUUAAGACAUAAGGAGUUAGAAAAUCACUGUAAAAAUAAAGUUGCUUGUUGUACAGGUACUAACAAGCAUUUUCUGAAAUGGAAAUUUGUUUUUUUUUUAACCUAAUACAAAUAAGGUUCAAGCACUGUAUUUAAAUAUUUAAAAGAUAGGAGUUUCUUAAAAUACCACAUAUGGUGCUCUUUCUUGUGAGCUUGCUUUUCUCCACAAUUUGGCAAUUUGCUUCACUCUAGUAGUCCAAUCUGCAACAAAAGAACAGAAUAUAACACUUUCUCAGAGCCAUGCUAAUGAUGUGUUGUAAUAAAGAAUGUUGAUGAACUGCUGACAGUUAAUCUUAUUCAGGCCAUAUUCUCAUGAGGUCAUAGAUCUAUAUUAAGUAUUUUUACAAAGAACAAAGAUCCUGGCACACUGUAGGCCAAACAAACAUUUUCUAAAUGAAGUGUUGCCUUAUUAACAACCUAGCUUGUAGGUUGGGAAGUUUUUAGAUUCAAGGGACAAAGUAGCAAAAAUGUGCCCUCUCCCUCACCCUCUCCCUCUCCCUCUCCCGUCUCCGUCGUCUCCGUCUCCUGCUUUCCACGGUCUCCCCCUCUCCGUCGUCUCCGUCUCCCGCUUUCCACGGUCUCCCUCUGUUGCCGAGGCUGGACUGUACUGCUGCCAUCUCGGCUCACUGCAACCUGCCUGCCUGAUUCUCCUGCCUCAGCCUGCCGAGUGCCUGGGAUUGCAGGCAUGCGCCACCACGCCUGACUGGUUUUUGUAUUUUUUGGUGGAGACGGGGUUUCGCUGUGUUGGCUGGGCUGGUCUCCAGCUCCUGACCACGAGUGAUCUGCCCGCCUCGGCCUCCGGAGGUGCCGGGAUUGCAGAGGGAGUCUCGCUCACUCAGUGCUCAAUGUUGCCCAGGCUGGAGUGCAAUGGCGUGAUCUCGGCUCACUACAACCUCCACCUCCCAGCCGCCUGCCUUGGCCUCCCAAAGUGCUGAGAUUGCAGCCUCUGCCCGGCUGCCACCCCGUCUAGGAAGUGAGGAGCGUCUCUGCCUGGCCGCCCAUCGUCUGGGAUGUGAGGAGCCCCUCUGCCCGGCCGCCCAGUCUGGGAAGUGAGGAGUGCGUCUUCCCGGCCGCCACCCUGUCUAGGAAGUGAGGAGCGUCUCUGCCUGGCCGCCCAUCGUCUGGGAUGUGAGGAGCCCCUCUGCCCGGCCGCCCAGUCUGGGAAGUGAGGAGUGCGUCUUCCCGGCCACCACCCUGUCUAGGAAGUGAGGAGCGUCUCUGCCUGGCUGCCCAUCGUCUGGGAUGUGGGGAGCGCCUCUGCCCGGCCGCCCAGUCUGGGAAGUGAGGAGUGCGUCUUCCCGGCCGCCACCCUGUCUGGGAAGUGAGGAGCGCCUCUGCCCGGCCGCGACCCCGUCUGGGAAGUGAGGAGCGCCUCUGCCCGGCCGUGACCCCGUCUGGGAACUGAGGAGUGCCUCUGCCUGGCCGACCCGUCUGAGAAGUGAGGAGCCCCUCUGCCCGGCCGCCCCGUCUGAGAAGUGAGGAGCCCCUCUGCCCGGCAGCUGCCCCGUCUGGGAGGUGGGGGGGCGCCCCCGCCCGGCAGCCACCCCGUCUGGGAGGUGCGGGUCGCCUCUGCGCGGCAGCCGCCCUGCCUGGGGGGUGGGGGGCCCCUCUGCCCAGCCGCCACGUCUGGGAAGUGGGGAGCCCCUCUGCCCGGCCGCCACCCCGUCUGGGAGGUGUACCCAACAGCUCAUUGAGAAUGGGCCAUGAUGACGAUGGCGGUUUUGUCAAAUAGAAAAGGGGGAAAUGUGGGGAAAAGAAAGAGAUCAGAUUGUUACUGUGUCUGUGUAGAAAGAAGUAGACAUAGGAGACUCCAUUUUGUUCUGUACUAAGAAAAAUUCUUCUGCCUUGGGAUGCUGUUAACCUAUAACCUUACCCCCAACCCUGUGCUCUCUGAAACAUGCGCUGUGUCAACUCAGGGUUAAAUGGAUUAAGGGCGGUGCAAGAUGUGCUUUGUUAAACAGAUGCUUGAAGGCAGCAUGCUCGUUAAGAGUCAUUACCACUCCCUAAUCUCAAGUACCCAGGGACACAAACACUGCCGAAGGCCGCAGGGUCCUCUGCCUAGGAAAACCAGAGACCUUUGUUCACAUGUUUAUCUGCUGACCUUCCCUCCAAUAUUGUCCUAUGACCCUGCCAAAUCCCCCUCUCGGAGAAACACCCAAGAAUGAUCAAUAAAUACUAACAAAAUUAAAAAAAAAAAAAAUACAACUUGAAACAUUGCAGUUGAAAAUGAAGACAAAGGAAACACUUCAAAAGCAACCAGAGGCCAAGCACAGUGGCUCACAUCUGUAAUCCCAGCACUUUGGGAGGCCAAGGCAGGUGGAUCGCCUGAGGUCAGGAGUUCAAGACCAGCCUGGCCAACAUGAUGAAACCCCAUCUGUACUAAAUACAAAAAUUAGUUGGGCAUGAUGGCACAUGCCUGUAAUCCCAGCUACUUGGGAGGCUGAGGCAAGAGAAUCUCUUGAACCCAGAAGGCAGAGGUUGCAGUGAGCCGAGAUUGCACCACUGCACUCCAGCCUGGGCCACCAAGCAACAUUCUGUCUCAAAAGAAAGAAAGAGAGAAAGAAAGGGAGGGAGGGAGGGAGGAAGGAAGGAAGGUAGGAAGGAAGGAAGGAAGGAAGGAAGGAAGGAAGGAAGGAAGGAAGGAAAGAAGGGAGGAAACCAGACAGAAAAAAUAACUUACAAAGGAACAAAAAGUAGACUAACAGGAGACUUCAUGCAUGCAAAAAUAAAGGCCAGAAGACAAUCAAAUAAUAUCUAUAGAUUGAGGAGAGAAAAGUAUUUCCAGCUAAGCUAUCAUUCAAGAGGAAGAGUAAAUUAAAACACUUUCAAGGCCAGGCAUGGUGGCUCACACCUGUAAUCUCAGCACUUUGGGAGGCCAAGGCAGGCGGAUCACCUGAGGUCAGGAGUUCGAGACCAGCCUGGCCAACAUGGUGAAACCCCGUCUCUACUAAAAAUACAAAAUGUAGCCAGGCGUGGUUGCGCGUGUCUGUAAUCCCAGCUACUAGGGAGGCUGAGGCAGGAGAAUCACUUGAACCCGGGAGGCGAAGGUUGCAGUGAGCCAAGAUCCCACCACUGCACUCCAGCGAGACUCUGUCUCAAAAAAAAAAAAAAAAAAAAAAAAAAAGAAUGUUCGACAUUAUAAGGGUGUUGUUCUUUCUUGCUUGUCUAUAACUUUAAUGUGAUUUUUCAAAUUUUCCCCCAGGGUUUUUGUUGUUGUUGUUGAGACAGGGUCUCAACUUUGUCACCCAGGCUGGAGUGCAGUGAUGUGAUAUCAGCUCACUGCAACCUCUGCCUCCCAGGCUCAAGCAAUCCUCCCACUUCAGCCUCUCUAGUAGCUGGGACUACAGACACGUGCCACCAUGCCCAGCUAGUUUUUGUAUUUUUAGUAGAGAUGGGGUUUCGCCAUGUUGGCUGGUCUUGAACUCCUGGGCUCAAGCAAUCCACCCUCCUCAGCCUCCCAAAGUGCUGGAAUCACAGGCAUGAGCCACUUUCAUGACUCUGUCUCAAAAAAAAAAAAAAAAAAGUCUCAAUCAUUAAAACAGUGUGAUAUUAAGAUAUUAAUAGACAGACCCAAGGAAGAAAAUAGAAAGUCCCAAAAUAAAUAGAGCUAUGUGGAGAAUUUUAACUUAAGGAAAACGUGACAUUUCAACACAACAGGAAAAUGAUAGAUUAUUCAACAAAUAGUGCACUGAGUAGGCAUCUGAGGAAAAAAAUGAGAUUCACACUUCAUAUACAAAUUGCAAAUGGAUGAAAUGUAAAAGGAAUAAAUGGAGGGUCAGAGAGAAAGAAAAAGAAACCUUAAACAUACUGAAAUAAACUCUGGGAAGGCCUCCCUAACUGUGAUACAAAAGUCAAAUGCAUUUUUAAAUAAAAAGAUAUUAAUUCCACUGCUUCAAGAUCAAAAAUCUCCAUAUGGCCAAAAAAAAUCACAGUUGCUACUCAUAACACAAAAGGCUAACUUCAAAGAACUUCAAAUUCAUAAGAAAAAAAUAACCUAUAUAAAAAUGGACAAAGGGUAUGAACAGACAGUUCUCAGAAACAUUAAAAAAUAUUCAACCUCAUUCCUCAUAAAAGAUCCAAGUUAAAACUCUCCUCAGAUAUUUAUCUUUUCAUAUUAUAUUGACCAAGAUGAAAAAACAUGGGUAUACUCAUAAGUUACAGAUAGGUUUGUAAAUUGGUUCACCCUCUACAGAGGAAAUUUGGCAAUAAUUACCAAAAGAACAGACUUCACACCUUUUGACCUAGCAAUUCCAGUCCUAGGGCACCAUCUAGGAUAUACAGAUAUUUUUGCACAUAUGCCAAAUGCCACUCCUGAGGGACCGAGAAAAAAGUCUAAACAAACAAAUGGUUUGGCAAUAACCUUAUAAAUUAUAUACAAAUCCUUCUAUAAUAAAAUAUACUUAUUUAUUAUGUCUUUUUGUUGUAUAAUUCAAAUUAAAAUGUAUUACUAACCUUCUUUUUUAAAUAUGCAUAAAGGCAGCAAAUAUAAAGUCUAUGGACCCUGCCUCAGGUUAUUCAAAUAACAUCCUCACCAUUGAUCAAAUGCUCAAGAAAAAGCAGACUUGUAUAGUGGCCGAUGCAACUACUAUUAAACAACAUGUGAAGAGAGCUACUGAUACCUGUAAUUUGGGAAUUGCCUUUGAACACCGAAAAGAAAUGCUAAACCUCUGGCAGAAGAUCCGAGGGGAUUUGAUUAGGAUAGACUCUAGAAAUGAGGCCUUUUAUGACACCUUUUCUACUUAUACAUGGUCCUGGAAUGUUUGCCAAGAAUUACUUUCUCCUAAGGACUUAAGGUUAUAUGAUGCCUAUGUGAAUAGAAAUUCCUCCCAUAACUGCAGAUCCUCUUCCUCAUCAGAUACCAGUGAAUGUGACACAGACUCAGGAAGAAAAAGAAAACAGAAAGGUUUAAAGGGAUUUCAACAAUGAAAUUUCUACAUUUUCUAAACAGCUCAUCACAAACUACUUUUUCAUAGUUAUCAAAAUUAUUGUUUCUUGCUUUUGUCUAAGUACAUUCUUAGAAGCUGGAAAUGUUGACAUCUUUUGGAUUCUGACCAGUAAAAAACCUUAAACCAUUUAGGAAAUGGUUUCCCUU